ACCUUGUGAUUAGGGCAUUUUAGAGUCUUGUCCUUAAAUCUUCCCCAUGCUUCAUUAAAAGGCUCUCCAUUGAUUUGACAAAAAAAUUAUGAUUUCAUCAUGUAAUU
rfam:Capsicum annuum cultivar Zunla-1 chromosome 5, whole genome shotgun sequence